UACGGGGGGGGUAAGCGUUGUUCGGAAUUACUGGGCGUAAAGGGCUCGUAGGCGGCCAACUAAGUCAGACGUGAAAUCCCUCAGCUUAACUGGGGAACUGCGUCUGAUACUGGAUGGCUUGGAUUUGGGAGAGGGAUGCGGAAUUCCAGGUGUAGCGGUGAAAUGCGUAGAUAGUCUGGAGGAACACCGGUGGCGAAGGCGGCAUCCUGGACCAAUAUUGACGCUGAGGAGCGAAAGCCAGGGGAGCAAACGGG
rnacentral:rRNA from 1 species